rnacentral:tmRNA from 1 species
GGGGCUGACUGGUUUUGACAGCGGGAUGAAGAGGUGCGUAAGCAUGCCGAGCAUUGGAGGUUGGCUCGUAAAUAUCAAUUUCCACACUCUUAAUUGGCGAAAACAAUUACGCUCUCGCAGCCUAAUCGAAGCAUAGUAGAUAGGCAUUUUCCGGCAUAAGAUGCCGGAACGAGACAUCUCCCGGGUGCUAAAGUCCUGAGGCGGCCCGAACCGGAGGUGCAGAAAAAUCGGGAAUAGUAGGUGGCUCGCUCCGCGCUGCCUGCGAAAUUAAGGGAGCUAAGGUGCCGGUUGGUGGCUUUGAUCCUGCCGACACUCGAAAAUCAAGUCAGAGCUAAGCAUGUAGAAAGCGUAUUGCUUCCUCGUUUGGACCGGGGUUCGAUUCCCCGCAGCUCCACGA